CUUGGCAACCAUAUAGACUGACACUGGAGACAGGAAAAGUGAGCUGGCUGCCGCAUCAACUACAUCAUCAUCAUCAUCAUCAUGAUCGUAGUCGACCAAAAAUGUGACGCCAAUUGAAAGUCAGGCGAGUGUUCCGCUGGCUGCCUUCGCAGCUGCUGACGUUGAUCCCCCCUUUUGCUACGCCCCUUUUGGAUGGCAGCUCCCCCUUUUUUGGGAAACCCCAGCACCUUCUGGUGCCACACUUUCGGAUAACCAAAGGCCACAUCUAUAGCCACUACAACAGUACUGAUUCUGUGAGAACUUCUCAUAUCAUUUUGAGCUACAUAUAUGCUGUGUAAAUUGCAGUCCAACGGGGCGGAUGUUUUUCUAUAGAUUACAGACAGCACGAUUUUCACACGCACUUGAGUGUUCGCCGAAUGACAACAAUUAGCCAUGUGAAAUUCCCGAAUACAUUAGCCCAUUGAAGUUUGGAAAUGUGGUAGGUGUUGCGAUGCAAUCGAAUGGAUCCAUAGUGUCGUGAGUUCUGAGUAGAGGCCGAGGCAUUUACAGAGGAGGCACAAAAACGCGCCGAGUCAGCCAGCAGUUGGCAAACCGCAGAAACGCCACAUAGAUACAUCCAUAACUAUAACCCACACGGUAAGAAAAUACUUUAAAAUUGCGAUUAAACCUAAGUUUAGCAAAUUCCUUAGCUAGUGGCUUUUUGAGGCAUAUAUGAGAGAUAAGUAACUUUCACUGUCAACAAAACUGUCUAGUUUAAUUUUCUUUAAGAUAAAGUAUAUUAAUAUUCUUUAAGCACCUAUUGAAUUGAAUAGAAACCCGAAAGAUGGCUUAAAGAUCUUUUUUCCUGUGCGUCUUAAGCCAGUUUGUGGCUGGUGACUUUUUGGGCCGACUGACAACCUUUAAUUACUCUGUAAAUAUUUGCGGCGUUAAUUGGAUUUUUUCCUGGCCCAAACGAAACCCUCUGUGUCUGUCUGUGUUGUCGUUAGAAACUGUAACGGAUAUGGGCCGUGGUCUCUUCGUGGGAACAGCGACUUCCAAUCUGUUUGCCUAACCAUGAAAUGUGGUCAUCUUCGCGAGCGGGAGUGUUCAGUUUGGCCAUAGUGGCAGGCGGCCAUUUGCUGGCAGCUAUUGAAGGCCAUUUGGCUGGUGCAGCUGCAAAUUGAAUCGCAAUCGAUUACAAGUUCAAAUCGUUUAGAUUUGGCCGCCUCAAUGCUGCAGCCAGAGUCUUGGCCUUGGCUGACUGGCAAAAUUGCAGCUCCUCAAGCGAGUUUUCAGCAUUUAAUCUAUGUACGAUGCAUUGGGUUAAGGUCGACUAGAAAUAUCAGACGGACCAAUGGCGGUGGUGGCAGCAGAGUUAGCCAGGCUUAGACCAGCCACUGCCAAUCGAGCUCUCCAUUUUUUUUACUUUUUUUUUUGCCCAAGAAGUGCUCUCCAAUUUAUGCAACACUUUCAUGACGCCUUCAGGUUGCCCCAAAAAAAUGAAUUCAUAUCACUU
rnacentral:sRNA from 1 species